rnacentral:rRNA from 1 species
UAUAAGACUGGGAUAACUUCGGGAAACCGGAGCUAAUACCGGAUAAUAUAUUGAACCGCAUGGUUCAAUAGUGAAAGACGGUUUUGCUGUCACUUAUAGAUGGAUCCGCGCCGCAUUAGCUAGUUGGUAAGGUAACGGCUUACCAAGGCAACGAUGCGUAGCCGACCUGAGAGGGUGAUCGGCCACACUGGAACUGAGACACGGUCCAGACUCCUACGGGAGGCAGCAGUAGGGAAUCUUCCGCAAUGGGCGAAAGCCUGACGGAGCAACGCCGCGUGAGUGAUGAAGGUCUUCGGAUCGUAAAACUCUGUUAUUAGGGAAGAACAAAUGUGUAAGUAACUAUGCACGUCUUGACGGUACCUAAUCAGAAAGCCACGGCUAACUACGUG